rnacentral:rRNA from 1 species
CCUACGGGUGGCUGCAGUGGGGAAUUUUGGACAAUGGGCGCAAGCCUGAUCCAGCAAUGCCGCGUGCAGGAUGAAGGCCUUCGGGUUGUAAACUGCUUUUGUACGGAGCGAAAAGGCUUCCACUAAUACUGGGGGCUCAUGACGGUACCGUAAGAAUAAGCACCGGCUAACUACGUGCCAGCAGCCGCGGUAAUACGUAGGGUGCGAGCGUUAAUCGGAAUUACUGGGCGUAAAGCGUGCGCAGGCGGUCUUGUAAGACAGGUGUGAAAUCCCCGGGCUUAACCUGGGAACUGCACUUGUGACUGCAAGGCUGGAGUACGGCAGAGGGGGAUGGAAUUCCGCGUGUAGCAGUGAAAUGCGUAGAUAUGCGGAGGAACACCGAUGGCGAAGGCAAUCCCCUGGGCCUGUACUGACGCUCAUGCACGAAAGCGUGGGGAGCAAACAGGAUUAGAUACCCCAGUAGUC